GGACAUUGUCAAAUUGUGCCCUGCCCCUGCUGACUGCAUCCGUGAGGCAGAACAGUAUUGAAGACUAACGCUUGUUCAUAUCAGUCGCUGUUAUUGAGCAGCGAGGCGCAACAAAUCGCAAUGGCUGUCAUCUACAAAUGAUUCUACUUGGAAACUUCUCAUACUAUAUUCUCCCCGCUGAGGCUUCGGUCUUGGCCAAAGAGGAUCUGGUGAAGUGGUCUUGAUGCCAAUCAGUGUGCACAAAGCUGUACAUUCAGGGCCACUCAUGGGUUGGUAUCAAAAAAGAAUUCAAGACGUGAUAAAGAAUUCUUAAUGAAAUCUUCUUCUAUCGAGUACUGAGAUUUUUUGGCAAUAAGCACCACUACCAGAGUUUUCAGGUCAUAAAAGAUACUGUUGGUUCGGUUUACAAACGUACUGCUGUGAAUACGUCCAUACAACAUUUUCUCGCCUCUCCACCAAUUAAGAGGCCUGGAUUUGAUGCGGGUGCUUACUCUCCGGCCCUCUUUCCACUCACUCCCACCAUCUGGUGUAUGACAAACAACGGAAUGUCCGAGAUUUAGCGUCCGUCUAAAAAUCAAUAGGAAGCCAGCGUCAGGUGCAUUGAUCGUCUCUGAAGCGUUCCAGAAAAUUAAAUGUAACACAAUUGUAGUUGUAUCUUGUGGUCUAAAACCAAGUUUUGGCCUUGGUCUUUCAGAUCGAUAACAACCGAAAAGUGGCAAUCCAAUAAGAGAACCUUCCACCAAGCUUGUUGUUGAGAUUUGCGAAAUAAGUUUCUUCACUAAUGAUUCCCAUUUUAUAGAUUCUGCUUUUAGCCCUACCAAUGGGAGUGCCAAGAUUGGCCCACGUUCGCUUCCCCAAUCCACGAAUUUUCUUGCAUCCAGCUGCCGGCUUAGCCUGGGGACUGAGAGUGAAGAUAUAUGGAUCUUUUUCGACAUCGGCAGCCUGUUGGAGUUCAAGCAAGAGAGCCUUAAGGACAUUACGCUAGUAUUAAAAUCUUUAGAAGCUGAAUUCUACAAUUUCGUAGCAAUGGCAAACCUAGAUUUCAGAUGAUUCAAUUUUACCUCAAUA